rnacentral:misc_RNA from 1 species
GAUGAAGAACGUAGUGAAAUGCGAUAAGUAGUGUGAAUUGCAGAAUUCAGUGAAUCAUCGAAUCUUUGAACGCACAUUGCGCCCCUUGGUAUCCCGAGGGGCAUGCCUGUUCGAGCGUCAUUUCACCACUCAAGCCUGGCUUGGUGUUGGGCGACGUCCUCUUUGGGGACGCGCCUCGAAACGCUCGGCGGCGUGGCACCGGCUUUAAGCGUAGCAGAAUCUUUCGCUUUGGAAGUCGGGGCCCCGUCUGCCGGAAGACCUGCUCGCAAGGUUGACCUCGGAUCAGGCAGGGAUACCCGCCGAACUUAAGCAUAUCAAUAAGCGGAGGA